AUGACCAAAAUGGUCAAAGGCCUGGAAAUCAUGAAUCUCUUUGAAGAAUGGCUUAGGGAACUGUAUAUGUUCAACCUGAAGAAGAGAAAGUUAAUAGGGGGACAUGAGAACCAGGUUAAAAUAUUUGAAAGAAUGUCACUUGUCAAAGGGGGAAACUUACUUUAUGCCUCUCUAGAGAUUAGGACCCAGAGCAGUGGAUUCAAACGGCAGGGAGAAAUAUUCCAACUCAACAUUAGGAAAAGCUUCCUGACAGUAAGAGGUGAUCAACUUUGGAAUAUAUUCUACCUGGGAGUCCAGUGGAGUCUCUGCCCUUCUCUGGAGGUUUUAAGCAGAGGCUGGAUGGACAUCUGUCGGGAGGGCUUUGAUUGUGUGUUCCUACAUGGAAGAAUGGGGUUGGACUAGAUAGCCCUUGGGGUAUCUUCCAGCUCUAGAAUUCUAUGAUUCAGUCCAUCUGAUUCCUGGAGGCAGCACAAGAAGAAUAAUAUAAUCAGGGACACAUUUGCAAAAAUUUUUUUACAAAUAAUGUAUUUGCUGGUUCACACAAGUCGCCUUUUCCCACUGCCCUCUGUGAUGAUCACUCAUUUGCAAAUCCAAAUGAAUCUAAAUGUCCCUGGGGAUAUUUUCUGGUGUAAAUAAAUAACUCGUCAUAUUCAGGACAUCUCUGCCUCUUGCAGCACUUUAUGCUCGACGCUGUUUCAUGGGCACACUUCAAUAAGGGCAUCCGGAAACUCAUCGCCGGAUCAGGAGUGUUUUGACGGAGAUGGAGAUUAAACAUUAAAUAAAGGAAGAUUCAGUCUGCCAGGAUGGGAAGGAAACCAAGCCAUUUGUCAGCCUGUUCUCUCAGGUCUUGAGGGCGGGAAGGAGGGAGCCACAAUGUUAUGAAACGAGGAGAUGCACUCGCUCGGUUUUGUUCUUAUCAGGGCUGGUUAAAUGAAGGCAAUUCCUCAUGCCCUCUUUGCAGAAUCCUCAGAGGAGCCUUAGGUGCAGAAAUCAUAUCUUUGCAUGCCCCUCAAGGCUUCAAAGCUGCUCUCUCUGUAAUGGAGCUAAUGCCUGCACCCCAAAGCAACAGCAAAGCUUCUGCUGCAUUCACGGGUUGGUUUGCAAUCACUCAUUAGUCCUCACACCUUGGGGCUGGUUGAAUUACCUAUGAAUUGGAUACAGAAACUGCACAUCCCCAUCUCCCCAUGUACAGAAGAGCAUUGUUGCUGCUAACUGCCAUCAAGUCAACUUCAGCAGAAAAAAUGACCACAAACUUAACAUCAGUCAACAGUGUAACUUGGCAUCAAUAGGAGUAGCCAUAGUCCCACUUCUGCCAAAAUCAGCCAAAAUCUGGAAGUUAUUAUUCUCCAUGAAGAGCAACUUAGUAAAUGUUUUGCUGGAAAUAAGAAGGUAAAGAGUGGACAUAAUAAUCAAGUUUAAAUAUUUGAGAUUUUAUAUCUUUAAUGAUACGAGCUAGAAGGGAACAUGUAGACCUCCUUCCCCUAAUUAUUUGGUGACACACAUUUUUUAACAGGAACAGAUAUCCACUUUUCCACAGCCAAAUGACAGAUGAGGAACAAGAAGGCCCCAGUGAAGAUUAAAGCUGUUUGUACAACUGAAGCAAACAGAACAAUGAAGAUAAAAAUAAUUCCAGUGAAGUGUAUGUGAGAGUAAUUCAUGUUUCCCCCCUAUAUGUAGUCAAUACUCCCUGCAUAGAGUCAGGUAUCCCUUUUCCUGGAAGACAACAGCUACUGCGCAGAAAUCCUUCCUCUCCUGCUGAAACCUAUUCCAUUGGAUGCCUGAGCAUCUUGGGGAGAAAGGGAUCCAGCUCCCAGCCACCUUCAAGUACCACAAAUGAGACAUAAUAAUAAUAAUAAUAAUAAUAAUAAUAAUAAUAAUAAUCUUGUAUAAAGAAUCAGUACAAGAAAACCACACUACAAACUAGAGCUGACAGCUGGCACAACAAAACAUUGCAUGGAAAGUUCCUUGACAAAAUUGAAGGAAAAGCUGAUAAGAAGAAGACCUGGCCAUGGCUCACGAAUGGGACCCUGAAGAAGGAGACAGAAGGCCUGAUCCUUGCAGCCCAGGAGCAAGCCAUCAGAACAAAGGCAAUUCAGGCCAAGAUCGAAAAAUCAGCUGAGGACCCAAAAUGCAGAUUGUGCAAGGAAACCGACGAAACCAUUGAUCAUAUCCUCAGCUGCUGUAAGAAAAUUGCACAGACUGACUACAAACAGAGGCAAACAGAGGCACAACUAUGUGGCCCAAGUGAUUCAUUGGAACUUAUGCCUCAAGUACCACCUCCCAGCAGUAAAGAACUGGUGGGAUCACAAACCUGCAAAAGUAUUGGAAAAUGAGUACGCAAAGAUACUGUGGGACUUCCAAAUCCAGACUGACAAAGUUCUGGAACACAACACACCAGACCUCACAGUUGUGGAAAAGAAAAAGGUUUGGAUCAUUGAUGUCGCCAUCCCAGGUGAUAGUUGCAUUGACGAAAAACAACAGGAAAAAGUCAGCCGCUAUCAGG
ensembl:lncRNA